GGAAGAAAAAUGAGAAAAAGAGGGUUUGUGUUAUUUUUUCAUGAAAAUUGCUUGAAAAAUCAAAAAAACAAAGUGUAAGAUAGAAAGAGUGUUAAGUAAUUAAAGAGAGGGUUGAUACAUUAAGGAGACUACAAGGAGUUUGAAGAUUUUAGGAGUGGUUUUUAGAGAAAGAAAGAAAAAAAUUGAGCUUAGAGGGAAGUGUGAAGGAAAAGAACUUGUUUUGGCUUUUGAUUCUUCAUUCCUUAAGGGUAAGAAAACUCUCCAUGAUGGUCCAUUUUAUUGUUUUUCAUGUUUGUUAUUAGAUUGAGUAGAAUUGGUAUUAUGUGAAGGUGGGUUCUUGAUGUUAUGAUGGUUUGAAUGCAUGGAUUUAUGUAAAUUACAUGUUUAAUGAAGGAAUAAAUGUUUGGGCUUGUCAUUAAUUAGGUUAAUUUAAAAAAAAAAAAAUUUCUUCCUCUUAGUAUUUGGAAUUUCGGCCAAGGGUGUUUUUUUGGGGUGAUUAGGUUGUUGAAUUAAUAACAAACAAAUUAUAUUUAGUUAUGAUAAUUGAGUAUUUGGUGAUUGAAGAAUGGAUAAUAAGAAUAAUAAUAAUAUGGUUUCCACCUUGGGUAAGCUAGUGAUUCCUUGUUAUGUUAUAAGUAAAUAUGAUCCUAUUGUGUUGAUUAGUGAAAUUUCAUAAAUGGAUGCUUAGUUAUUGUUAUGUGUGAUUAUGGAACUAUUAGAAAGGUGAAUUUGGCCAUGAAAAAUAUAAGAAAUAAAAUUUCAAGCUUGAAGAGAUUAAUGAAUUGUAUUUAAAUAGUGGAAGAAAAAUAAAAAUGAAAUGAUGUGUUGAAUUAGGUGUAACUGAAUUAAAUUUCCUUUGAUUGUAGAGAAAAGUUUUAUAGUGAUAUAAAAUUUCCUUAUAAUUGUGGUGAAUUAAAAGUUUAGGUGGAUGUAGUAUUGUAUGAAUUAAUUGUGGAAUUAUUAAAGAACAUGCAAUAGUUUCGAAUGUUAAAAUUAUAUUGAUCGAAAAUCUUAUUAUGUGAUAAAGUUUUAAGAAAAUUAUUCGGUGAUGAAAUAUUGAAAUCAUAAGAUCUUUCGAAUGAAACAAGAGAGGUGGGAGGCUCCAGACAGCAGCAGGUAGUUACUAGUCAAGUAUCACCAGCAGGUAGGUAUCUAACAUCUUGAAUUUUUAUAGAUAGAUUAAUUGAAAAACUAGUGUUAAUUUUUAAUUAGAAAUUCUGUAGUUUAUGUUUGAUGUUAACAGAUGAAUUAAUGCCCGGUAAUUGGGUGGAUAAAUUAGUACCGGUAUUUGGGCGGAUAAAUUAAUGCCCGGUAAUUGAGCGUGAAUUAAUGCCCGGUAAUUGGGCGGAUAAAUUAGUACCGGUAUUUGGGCGGAUGAAUUAAUGCCCGGUAAUUGAGUAUGAAUUUAUGCCCGGUAAUUGGGGAUAAAUUAGUACCGGUAAUUGGGUUAAUGCCCGGUAAUUGAGCGUGAAUUAAUGCCCGGUAAUUGGGUGGAUAAUCUAGUACCGGUAAUUGAGCGGAUAAAUUAGUACUGGUACUUAAGUGAAUAAAUUAGUGUCCCUGAUGAGGGAGCAAUAUUCCGUGAAACGGUUAAGAUUAGAAUUUAAUGAAAUGAAUAUGGAGGUGUAAGAUAUUAAUGUUUCAUAAUAAAGUAUAUAGAAAAAUAUAUAUAGUUAUAUUUGCAUGGGUAUAGUGAAAUGAUACAUUGCAUUUAUUGAUAAAAUGUUAAUCUUUUUUUUUUCAGGACCCUCGCAACAGUAGAAUAGAUUUUGCUUGAAUACAUGUUACUUUUGUGUAUUUAUUUUGAUCAACAUGUAUUUUGAGAAUUAUGAAUGAUGUAAAAGAGUUUGAAUGAACCUUUAUAUUUGUAUAACAAAACUUUUAUAUGUAAUUAAUGUGUAUGCCAUACUUAAGAAUA
rnacentral:lncRNA from 1 species